CAACUACUCCCUCCGUCCGAAAAUACUUGUCCUAGAAAUGAAUAAAAUGAAUGUAUCUAUAACUAAAAUUAAGUCUAGAUACAACCAUUUCUAGGACAAGUAUUUCUGGACGGAGGGAGUAGUAG
rnacentral:pre_miRNA from 1 species